rnacentral:sRNA from 1 species
GUAUUCGGCUGCCUGCCUGCCUGCCUGCUUGCUCUCUGGCUGUGCUCUUGCUUAAAGAAAUCAGUCCUUCCUUUCCGACUUAGUCCUCGGGAAGAAGUUUCAGACUACAAGGUUUAACAAUUAAUUCUUUAAAACAUUGGUUCAAUUGUGGCACACCGACCUCUCCUGUUGGCCAGAAACUUAUAGGG